rnacentral:lncRNA from 1 species
CUUAUAUAAAGAUAAUUGGGAGUUUUCAUGCCUGUCACAUCACUGCAAGUUGCUGGGACAGUGAGAAAAAGUAAUUCUGAAGUGCUAAAAGAUUGUGAGACGGCAAUGGGAAGUCUUUUCAAGAUUUAAGACCUAAAAUAGCCAUAUACAAUGGACAGGUGAUGAGCACUGGAAGUGGAAUGGGGACCAGAAAAGUACACUCAUGGCCCUACCUGAAGUAGUUUUAUUUCUGAAUAUCUGUAUAAAUGUUUUAAGCAUUAAAGUAUUUAUUAUUUGAAUUAUAGUAAUUCAUAGAAAUCUCUGCACAGCAAGAGAUGGUCUGGUCAGAAAGAACAGCAUCCAGAUCAUAGAAUCAUAGAACUAUAGAAUCAUGGAAUCAUAGAACAUCCGAGUUGGAAGUGACCCACAAAGAUCAUGAAGUCCAACUCCUGGGUCCCUAAAGGACCACCCCCCAAAAAAUAAAAUAAAAUAAAAUAAAAUAAAAUAAAAUAAAAUAAAAUAAUCAAAUCAUGUGUCUGAGAGUGUUGUCCAAAUACUUCUUGAACUCUGGCAGGCUUGAUGCUGUGACCACUUCCCUGGGAAACGUGUUCCAGUGCCCAACCACCCUCUUGGUGAAAAACCUUUUCCUGAUAACCAGCCUGAACGUCCCGUCACAGCUUUAAGCCAUUCCCCCAGGUCCUAUCAUAAAUAGGCAAGACAGAACAUUUUGAGAGAAAGUAUUAUUAGGUAUGUUUUACAGGUGGGGAAAACAAAACAAGGGAAGGCGCUGGAUGGGACUGACUUCCAGAUUGAGGCUGUUAAGCUGUGGUGUUAAUGUGCAGAUCCUCUCCAGGUUCAUAUGCCCCACCAUGUUCUGGCUGUUGUCUAGCAAUCAGAAGUCUCCUAUUGAUCCUGCACCAUACCAGCUAAUCCAGCACAGAAAUCUUGAUGCUGUAGGCUGCUCCAGGCAGGAUGAAACUUCAAAGUCCUCUGCACCGAAACAGACAUUGGCGUAGUUGAGAGAUCACUUAAUAUGAUCAGAAUGCAAAACUUAGGAUUUUUCAUCUUGGUGAAAGGAACCCACUGCUACCACAAGGGAUUUUAUCACUUCAUCUGGGACCAGGUAUAGUUUGAGAUGGUGAAGGCAAACCUGGAAGGCAAUGGCAGAUGUUUUGUUUGACCAAACAAAAGACAAACCACUAAGAUUAACAACUGCUCUGGGAGAGGGUAACGGCUGAUCCCAUAACAUCUGUUUUCAGUGUUCCAGCCAUAGCCUGGAGAUAUCAGCAGGAGUACUUCCAUUUGAGCUGCUUGGGUAAGGUCAAUAUGGGAGUUAGGAAGACAUAAUAUUUCUCAAGUGAAGAGCAGAAUAAGUGAAAGAAGUGAAAAAGUGAAAGGACAAAGGGUGUG